rnacentral:rRNA from 1 species
GACGAACGCUGGCGGCGUGCCUAAUACAUGCAAGUCGAGCGAGCGGAACUAACAGAUUUACUUCGGUAAUGACGUUAGGAAAGCGAGCGGCGGAUGGGUGAGUAACACGUGGGGAACCUGCCCCAUAGUCUGGGAUACCACUUGGAAACAGGUGCUAAUACCGGAUAAGAAAGCAGAUCGCAUGAUCAGCUUUUAAAAGGCGGCGUAAGCUGUCGCUAUGGGAUGGCCCCGCGGUGCAUUAGCUAGUUGGUAAGGUAAAGGCUUACCAAGGCGAUGAUGCAUAGCCGAGUUGAGAGACUGAUCGGCCACAUUGGGACUGAGACACGGCCCAAGCUCCUACGGGAGGCAGCAGUAGGGAAUCUUCCACAAUGGACGCAAGUCUGAUGGAGCAACGCCGCGUGAGUGAAGAAGGUGUUCGGAUCGUAAAGCUCUGUUGUUGGUGAAGAAGGAUAGAGGUAGUAACUGGCCUUUAUUUGACGGUAAUCAACCAGAAAGUCACGGCUAACUACGUG